GCUGUUAAGGAUAAUUUUUUUGUUCUCUACAUGUAAAAAUAUGUAUUUUAAAAAAUUGGAUGUCAUGGGCUGGGUGUGGUGGCUCAUGCCUGUAAUCCCAGCACUUUGGGAGGCCGAGGCGGGCGGAUCUCCUGAGGUCGGGAGUUCGAGACCAGCCUGACCAACAUGGAGAAACCCCAUCUCUACUAAAAACACAAAAUUAUCCAGGCAUGGUGGCACAUGACUGUAAUCCCAGCUACUAGGGAGGCUGAGGCAGGAGAAUCACUUGAACCUGGGAGGCGGAGGUUGAGGUGAGCCGAGAUCACGCCAUUGCACUCCAGCCUGGGCAACAAGAGUGAAACUCGGUCUCAAAAAAAAAAAAAACAUUGGAUGUUAUGGAAUGAGGGAGACAAAAAAUGCUCUACGACUAUUAACUGAUGCUUUUCUGGUUUUGUUCUCCAGACAUCAUUUGCUUUUCACUCAAGAUGAUUUGAUGUCUUAUAAAACUCUGAUGAACCAUGAUGGCUACACAGACAUUAAGUAUAGACAGCUAUCAAGAUGGGCAACAGAUGCAAGUAGUAACAGAGUUAAAGA
rnacentral:sRNA from 1 species